ACACCUGGAAGAAGACGGGAGAGGAAGUGUCAGGUAUUGCUGUGCCUUGUCCUUGUCCCAGUGUAGUGCAAUCGGUGCGUAUGAAAACGUAGAGGUGAAGCUGGGCUGGCUGCCCCUCUCCUGUUCCUUCUACAGGUUUUUUUCCACUGAACUCUGCUGUUUUCCCAGGGUAUCUGGUGCUGGGGUUACGAUGCCCAAGGUGGAUCUGCAGCCUCUAUUCCAAGACAAGAGAUACUUUGCUCCCACCAUCCAGCUGUGGUAGCAGAGACCAUUUAAUGCAAACCGCAGUUGGAGCUAAGCGUAAGCUGGAUGAGCAGCCUCUCCCCAUCGUACAGCCCUGCCCGUCUCUGACCAAGCACGGAAGGGAGCUUUGCGGUCUCUAAAAAGGAUGAGGAAAGCGAAUCGGGUCUGUGGAGCAGAGGCUGUGACACGCUCAGCACGCUCCAUUGGUGUCUGUGUGCUACCAGAGCUGGAGGUGCCGUGUCACGGCCGAAAGCACUCGCAACACCCCAGCACCCCUGCUCCGUGCACACACUGUGGACCUGAGCAGCCAUGUGAAGGAAGCAGCUUUGGCCAUCACCCACACCCGAGGGAUGCUGUACUUCAGCCGCUUCGUGUCCCCUCUGCCUCCCAUGAGGACGGAUUUUGGCCGAGCUGUCCCAGCCCUUUGGCAGAGGUGAUGCCCAGCCCUCGGCUGCUGCGGAGCCUGGCUCUGAAUUAUUCAGAGUCCAGCAAACACAGCCUCCUUCUCUUGCUUCAAAAUUAGCUAACAGGAGGGGAGGGAGGGGAGCAGGCAAGGGAACAGGUUAAAGCAGGUCAGAGCUUCACCACAACCACAUCGGGCUCUGAGUCAGAGCAACAGCUUUGGAGAGCCAUAGCUGAGCUCCUCCUGCCCCUGCAAAGGUGCCUGCCUGCUCCUGUGCCAGCAAGCACAGCUUUUACAGGGAGAAGCCUCACUCCCUAAUUGGUGUAAACAAGGAAAAUGAAAUAAAGAGAAAGCAGAGGCAGUCUCUUGUCCUUCUUGCCUGGGUCACCUAUUUCUCACUGCUCAGCCUGUUGCCACUGUGCAAAAGUUUUCGUUAUCCAAAGGAUCAAUUUUACCAGGGAAUUGCUUUCUGGUUUCAACCUCUGAGGAUCAUCAAUCUGAGCAGAGAACUAUAACCCCAGCAAGCUGACCCCACAACACAGCACUUUUCAGACCAAUCAAUCAGGCUGCAUUAUUUAAUAGCCAACAGCUGGCCCCCAUCGCCAAUCCCAUCUCGCUCAAAUGUUUCUGCAUCCGGGCCUCCCUGCUGCUUGUGCUCAGCGUUAACCCCCUUCUCCAGGCUUCUCUGCCUCCUCCUCUGGGCCUGCAGCCCAAGGACAUGUGCUCGCUGACGGUCUGUGCUCAGCAGCAUUCCCCAGCCAAGAUCCAGCUGGUGAAGAUGGGAGAAAAUGAUAUUAGCCCAGUCCCCUGGGUGGGAGCUGCGCGUCCUGCUUGCCUCUGCUCAUCUUCCUCAGGCAUCCAGCCAUCUCGGGAAAGAGAGGAUGAAGGGAAAGGUUAGGAGCUGCUUAGCAAUGAGGCUUAAAGAGCAGCAGCGGGGCAGACACCUGCGCUGUGUGCUGCAGAAGGCAGUGAUGGCCUUUUCAGUCCCAGGCUGCUCUGGCUCCCCUCUCCCUGCAGCAGGGUGCUCAGGCUGAGGCAGGGGGCUCAGAAGAGCUGCUAGUUUUUGUCCUCUCCAGCUCUGGUUCAAGAGUAGCAAUGGUGGCACUGGUUCUUGGUGCCCACAUAUGGUUCAGAUGUCGUGGGUGACAGCGUGGAGGAGAGCAAAUCCAGCAGGAGCCACAGCACCCACAGGCACGCUCCCUGGCCUGGGGACACCCAAGUCCCACGCUGGGCUGUUGGAAGGUGACACACAACUGCCUUUUGCAUUAAACACCUGGCUCACCCCGUGCCUCAGCAGAAGUUGCCAGAGCAAAGCUUGGCCCAACACGUUGCACAACGGGGUAUUUAUGAGUUUAUCCUCAGUGCAGGUCGUUCAGCUGCUGCCUUCCCCUCAAAGUGGUGCAGUGUGGUCGGAGGCUGCCAAUGCCUCCACCAGGGAACAAGGAGCUUGAAGAGCCAAGGAAAGUUUGCAGGAAAGUAUCUUUUUUUUUUUUUGUCUUCUUCUAUUUUUUUUUUUAAACGAUCGUAAAGAACAGUUCACCGUCCCUGCAUUUCUCCAAGUCAGCAUCCUGGAGGUCACAGCAGCAAGCGGUUGGAAGCAUUCUGGUGCCAAGCCCGUAUGCAAGGGAAGGAUGUGGCCCCGUGCAGGCUCAGAGAGGAGGCACAGCCUGCAGCCAUUGCUUGCAGCGUGCUCCGGCAGCUGGCUGGCCACAACUCACCCACUUUUACCUGCUCCUUUGCAACCGUCUUGGCAGCUCAGCAAAAGCAUGGAGCCAAUCUUUUGGGCAAAGCAUAACGGGUGCUGAGCUUGGAUUGCUUCUGGGCCAUCUGUGUGUGCAAAAAGACGGUCUUGUUGGACAAGUCAAGACUGCAAACCUCUAUGGCUAGAUGCCCUCCAACAAAUUCAUCAAGGUUGAUGAGAACGAGGAACUUCCAAGCAAGGCAGAGCAGCCUGGGGACAGGCACCCUCAGCUCAAGCCGAGCUGUGACCACAGGGGGAAGCAGGCUGAUGGAACUGCACUGGUUUGGAGGACAGAAGCACGAGGCAGCCUCUGGGCUGAGCAGGAGCUGCUCAUCUUUAACAGCAAAACAGCACUGAGCAUCACUGCAUCUCCACAGAGCUGCUGAGAAGGCAGAAAAGGGUACGGUGUGUGGGCACCACUGACAGCUAACCAGCUCGAUUUAUUGGCGGAGGUGCUUUGGGGGAUAGCUGUGAUCCUCCAGGGCUGGAGUGCCUGAUCCCAGCCGUUGAUGCCAAGAUAAAGGGCUGGGAGAAUUCGUUCUGCUCCACCAGCACAACCUCACUGCUCCCACUCAUGCGGAGAGUGAAGCCUCUCGGAGCACAUCUGCAAGCACAGCAUCGGGACUGCUAGAGGGGAAAGCAGGGGAGACCAGAGGGCCUUUCCCUUCAGCUCAUUUGUGAGAGCAAAAAAGAUGCCAGUGAAACCCUAACAAAAGCAGUCGGUGAAGGGAGUGAAAGAAAUACCAUUAAAAAAAUGGAAACCUCUUCUUGUUGGUGCCUCUUUGACCUGAGCAAAUCCCAGAGGUGUGGGUCUGCUUGGUGGUGAGUAUUGCUGCCUCCUCCUGCCUUUCUCUGGGGAUGCUCAUCACCGGCAGGACAGACAGACAGAGCAUGCACUGGAGCAGAGGAGGGCAAAGGAGAAAAAUCUUAAUAAUCAGCCUAAAAUUGAUUCACUUCUGCUCAAUCUGAUUUCUCCUAACUGGAUCCAUGUGUCCUGGCCAUGGCACAUUAACUUCAAUUAUGGCUUAUUAAUGUCUCUGUGAUGGAGCGUGCCCCGCUGAGCACUGCGGUGACUGACGUUAUGAAGGGGAAAAAAUUACUCCAAAGAGACGUGGUGUGUAAUGGAAACAGAACCGGUGGCUUUCAUCACACCGUCCGCCAGGCUUGGCAGCCAGGAAAAGCUCAUUCACCUGCUCUCGAGAAGAUGACCGAGCUCGUUGCUGCACCAAGCAGAAAACCGAGCAGGGAACUGAGAUCUGCGGGGAAAAGUCUCUCUGCUUCCCCUCCCCAUCGCGCCUGGCACACGCACAAGCACACAGGCCAAGGGCUUGCUUGUGUCUAUUCCUGUCCUGACUCCUCUGUAUCUCCAGUUACUCUGCAGAUCAAUAGGGACAGGAUGUAAGGAAAAAAAAAAAUUAGAUACCAAGAAGAAGAAAGACAGUAAAAAUAAACUCAUCCCUGGACAAAGAAAAGGACCUGGCUGAGGUUGCAGGAGAUGCGGAUGGAGUGGGUAAAGGAAGCCCUGAAGCAGCAGCCCACUGCACCAGCACCCAGCUGUGACCCUCAGGACCCACCAGACCCUCCGGAGAUCCUGCCAACCUCGAGCCCCCUCUGAUCCAGCCUACAGGAGGGGGGAAGGCAGCAAAGUCCUUCCCCUUCUCCCCAUGUCCUUUGCUCCUUCUCUCUCUCCUUUUCUGCCAAGCUGUGGGAGGUUGUGGUGAGGCAGUUUUCCUUGGUGAAAAGCAGAGGGGCAAAGAAGGGGGGUCCCAGGCUGGCCCAGGGGAUCAGAGAAACCCCACAGGACCCUCCAGCUGGGGCUGUAGCAUGAGGAACCCCCUGGGCUCAUGGUCUGCUCUGAGAGCAGUGAGCUUUUUUCUUCCCUUGACCUGUGAACUUCAACUGGAAAUGAGCUGCCACAAGUCCCUCAUCGCCGUGCAGGCACUGAUGGCUGUCUGCCCAAAUCCUGCUGCCGUGCAGGGGCUCGAGCAAUGCCACACGUUGCUUCUCCAGUGCCAUGGGCCACGACCAUGCUCUGCUCCUCUGCUGCCACACACUACAGCCGAGCACCGCUCCUCUGCCAGCCCUGGGCUGCUUGCAGCUCCUGGUCACUGGUUCCUCUGCUCUCCAGCUGGGACUUUCUGGCUGCUUUUUGCCUUUGAGCCUUUAUUUCUUCGUAAUCAUCUUCCCUCUCAUUUUCUGUGACCCCUGUGGUGAAUCCCUAACAACACACCCCAUUUUAUCUGCACACUCUCUUCCCACUGCUCAUAUGCGGUCUGUGCUCGUGGGCUGCAAGAGGCAUUGCACGUCCCCAGCCCUCCCCACUCUGCCUCAGCCCUUUCCUGAGUAGCUCACAUUGAUUUCUCCUCUCUUCCUCUCUCUAACCCACCCCUUGUUGAGCCACACAGAAGAUUUAAUUUGGUUUUAGUCCCUGCACUGUAACUGGCUUUGCUUACAGCUCGAAUUAGAUUGCUUUCCUGCAAAAAACCUCUGCUUGCUGGGACUGGAAUAAUCACAGGAGCAGAGUGAAUUCACACAAAGCUUCUCCACCUCACACACCACUUAU